CAUCACUACGCUAGAUGCAUAUCAAUAAGCGGAGGAAAAGAAACUAACAAGGAUUCCCCUAGUAACGGCGAGUGAAGCGGGAAGAGCUCAAAUUUGAAAUCUUAAAAGGUUUUCCUUUUACGAAUUGUAGUUUAAAGAAGUGUUUUCUGUUGAAGUUUUGGUACAAGUUCUUUGGAAUAGGACAUCAUAGAGGGUGAGAAUCCCGUAUUUGGCCUUAAUUUUUCAACUUUGUGAUACACUUUCAAAGAGUCGGAUUGUUUGGGAAUGCAGUCCAAAAUGGGUGGUAAAUUUCAUCUAAGGCUAAAUAUUGGCGAGAGACCGAUAGCGAACAAGUACCGUGAGGGAAAGAUGAAAAGAACUUUGAAAAGAGAGUUAAACAGUACGUGAAAUUGUCAAAAGGGAAGCGUUUGGACACCAGUGUUGUUUUUCCUAAAAUCAAUUACGAAUUGCUUGAUGUUAGUGUUUUAUUGACCUUAAUCAGGCUUUCAUUCACUUUUUCGUAAGUCUUUCUUAAUGCACUUUUUAGUUAACAAGUCAACAUCAAUUUCUUUUGUUGUAAAAGAGUAAUGCGGAAGGUGGCUUGGCUUUCGAGAAGUGUUUAUAGCCCUAUACUUCAUGCAGUCGGAGAGAUUGAGGUCUGCAGCAUAGAUCCUUCGGGGUUAGAUAGCCUUUGUGCUAUGUUAGUAGCUAUUAUCAUAGACAACUUGUUGACUAUGUUAAUAUCUUGCGUCUUCUCGCUUAAGUGCUAUUUUACCUACGCUUAGGAUGUUGACUGAUAUGUAGUCGUA
rnacentral:rRNA from 1 species